rnacentral:snRNA from 1 species
GCGUGAAAGGCGAAUGCCCUGGCUGCAACAUCUGUCACCCCGUUGAUCGCCAGGGUUGAUUCAGCUGAUCUGGCUGGCUAGGUGAGUGUCCCCUUCCUCCCUCACCACUCCAUGUGCAUCCCUCCCGAAGCUGCGCACUCUCGGUCGAAGAGGAUGGCCUUCCCCGAAUAGAGACGGACUGGUCUUCGGUGGAGGGUAUACGAGUAGCUGCGCUCCCCUGCUAGAACCUCCAAACUAUAUGUAGAUAUGGAUAGAAAAUACAAGGGUAAAUAACUUCAAACACUGUUAUCAUAAAAUUAUUGAUCUAUUCACGAAGGAAGUUUGUAA